rnacentral:lncRNA from 1 species
CUCUUUGUUUCUUGGCUGCCUCGUGGUAAGGAACUACUGGAGGAAGACUCAUGCCUAGUAUUUGCUGAACCUGAAAACUUCUUUAAGCUGCAGUUGUUGUGCUGGCCUCCUAGGAUAUUCAGCAGCUGGUCCUGUCACCUUCCAGAUAUUCAUAUGCUCAGCCAAAUCUGCAUAACUGUAAAUCAACACUAAGAGCAGUGGAAGGUUAAAGGUAAAGGAGAGUCUCACAAAGGAUCCAGGAAAUCAUUGCAUAUAUGGAAUGUAUGGGAAGGUCAUGGAUCAAGACAGCCAGUACAUUGUUCUUGAACACAUGAAUAUUCAAGAGAAGUCUUCUAAAUGUAACAAGCCUAGCAAUGUGUUUCUAGAAUCCCCCCAUUAUACACCUCACAAAUGUACUGAAUGUGACAAAUGCUUUUCCCAAAAAUCUCAUCUUAAUAUUCAUCAGAAAAUUCAUGCAGGAGAGAAACCUUACAAAUGCAGUGGAUGUGACAAAUGCUUUACUGAAAAAGGCAGUCUGAGAAGGCAUCAGAGAAUUCAUACAGGAGAGAAACCUUACAAAUGCAGUGAAUGUGACAAAUGCUUUACUAGAAAAGGCACUCUGAGAAUUCAUCAGAGAAUUCAUACAGGAGAGAAACCUUACAAAUGCAGUGAAUGUGACAAAUGCUUUACCCAAAAAUUUAAUUUGAGAUCUCAUCAGAGAAUUCAUACAGGAGAGAAACCUUACAAAUGCAGUGAAUGUGACAAUUGCUUUACUGAAAAAGGCAAUCUGAGAAGGCAUCAGAGAAUUCAUACAGGAGAGAAACCUUACAAAUGUAGUGAAUGUGACAAAUUCUUUACCCGAAAAUCCCAUCUUAGUAUUCAUCAGAAAUUUCAUACAGGAGAGAAACCUUACAAAUGCAGUGAAUGUGAGAAAUACUAACAAAGACAAUCUGAGAAUUCAUCAGAGAAUUAAUAAUGGAUAGAAACCUUACAAAUGUAGUCAAUGUGACAAAUGCUUUACCCGAAAAAUCCAAUCUUAGUAUUCAUCAGAAAGUUCAUACAGGAGAAAAAUCUUACAAAUAUAGUCAGUGUGACAAAUGCUUUACCUACCAAGCCAAGCUUAGUAUUCAUCAGAAAAUUCAUACAGGAGAGAAGCCUUACAAAUGCAGUGAAUAUGAGAAAUGCUUUACUAACAAAAGCAAUCUGAGAAUUCAUCAGAGACUUCACACAGAAGAGAAACCUUACAAAUGUCAUGAAUGUGACAAGUGCUCUCCCCAAAAAUCCCAUCUUAGUAUUCAUCAGGGAAUUCAUAAAGGAGAGAAACCUUACAAAUGUAGUGAAUGUGACAAAUGCUGUACCAGACAAUCCAAUCUUAGUAUGCAUCAGAGAAUUCAUACAGGAGAGAAACCUUACAAAUGUAGUGAAUGUGACAAAUUCUUUACCCGAAAAUCCCAUCUUAGUAUUCAUCAGAAAUUUCAUUCAGGAGAGAAACCUUACAAAUGCAGUGAAUGUGAGAAAUGGUUUACUAACAAAGACAAUCUAAGAAUUCAUCAGAGAAUUCAUACAGUAGAGAAAGAAACCUUACAAAUAGUUACAAACCUUACAAAUACAAUACAAUGUGAGGCUGAGAAAUCAUCAGUUAUUUCAUACAGUAGAGGAUCUUUAUAAAGUGAAAGAAGAAACUUUUCAAAUAUAUUGAAGGUAUGAAUCCUAGAAUGUAACAGUUAAUACUUACAGGCUAGAAACUUAACACAUGCAUUAUAUGAAGAAAUAUUCUUGACUUCAUUUCAGGUCAGAGAAAACAUCUAAGAACUUUUUAAGGGAAAGUAUUUCUGUUGGGGAAAAUGUGGCAUAUGUUUUAUUCACAGUGUCCUGGCAACACUUGAGGCUCCACACUAGAGAAUUAGUAUGAUUAUGAAAAUCUUGUGAAAAUUUUCAUGCAAUGUUCAAAUCUUAGGUAAUGUCAACUAUUUAUGCUGUGAGAAACUCUGAACAUGUGGAAAUGUAGAAAGCUUUUCAUGAUACCCUUUUACUUGUUCACCCUCAAAUAUUACAAGAUGAAGACAAGUUGGGAAGUCAGAAGAGAGUAUUGUGUAACACUUUCAUUGAGACAGAAGUAAUCCAUUUCAAAAGGGAACUAUUUAAGGUCUUUAAUAAAACCCUCAAAAUAUCUAAUAAAACUGGUAACACUCUGUAUAUUUAAUUCAAAUGACCCAAUUCAGAAAAAUUAUACUUAAAAGAGUAUCUGGCAAACUGAGCCACCCAGUCAGCAUAUUCUUUAUCCUAUAAGUAUGCUUACAGAUGUGAAGUAUGCUUCGAGUAUCCAGUAAUCAUAAUUCUUCUCAAAUGCUUGUUUCACAUUAUAGGAUAACAAAUGACUAUGAGUCUCUUGUGAUCUGGUCAACAAGUCCUUUCCUAUUGUCCUGUAACUAACUCCAAUAAAGCUGAAAUUUCUACAA